GGGAAAGUGGCUCAGUGGUAGAGUGCUUGCCUUGUAUGCAUGAGGCCCUGGGUCCAAUUCCUCAGUGCCA
rnacentral:tRNA from 1 species